UACGAAGGGGGCUAGCGUUGCUCGGAAUCACUGGGCGUAAAGCGCACGUAGGCGGCUUUUUAAGUCAGGGGUGAAAUCCUGGAGCUCAACUCCAGAACUGCCUUUGAUACUGAGAAGCUUGAGUCCGGGAGAGGUGAGUGGAACUGCGAGUGUAGAGGUGAAAUUCGUAGAUAUUCGCAAGAACACCAGUGGCGAAGGCGGCUCACUGGCCCGGUACUGACGCUGAGAUGCGAAAGCGUGGGGAGCAAACAGGG
rnacentral:rRNA from 1 species